GAGUUUGAUCCUGGCUCAGGACGAACGCUGGCGGCGUGCUUAACACAUGCAAGUCGAACGGUAAGGCCCUUCGGGGUACACGAGUGGCGAACGGGUGAGUAACACGUGGGUAAUCUGCCCUGCACUUCGGGAUAAGCUUGGGAAACUGGGUCUAAUACCGGAUAGGAAUCACAUGUGGGUGUGUGGUUGGAAAGCUUUUGCGGUAUGGGAUGAGCUCGCGGCCUAUCAGCUUGUUGGUGGGGUAAUGGCCUACCAAGGCGUCGACGGGUAGCCGGCCUGAGAGGGUGUACGGCCACAUUGGGACUGAGAUACGGCCCAGACUCCUACGGGACGCAGCAGA
rnacentral:rRNA from 1 species